GAGUCUUCUAUCUUUAAGAACGGACAUCAUAUUUCUCGUGAAUGGUCUAAUUGACGAGUCUUCUAUUUUUAGGGAUAGACACUAG
rnacentral:pre_miRNA from 1 species